rnacentral:rRNA from 1 species
GACGAACGCUGGCGGCGCGCCUAACACAUGCAAGUCGAACGAGCGAGAGAGAGCUUGCUUUCUUGAGCGAGUGGCGAACGGGUGAGUAACGCGUGAGGAACCCGCCUCAAAGAGGGGGACAACAGUUGGAAACGACUGCUAAUACCGCAUAAGCCCACGGUGCCGCAUGGCACAGAGGGAAAAGGAGCAAUCCGCUUUGAGAUGGCCUCGCGUCCGAUUAGCUAGUUGGUGAGGUAACGGCCCACCAAGGCGACGAUCGGGAGCCGGACGGGGAGGUUGAAAGGCCACAAUGGGACCGAGGCACGGCCCAGGCUCCUACGGGAGGCAGCAGGGGGGAAUAUUGCACAAGGGGGGAAACCCGGGAGCAGCCGCGCCGCGGGGAGGAAGAAGGGUUUGGGAGUGGAAACCCCUGGUGUUGGGGAAGAGAAUGACGGUACCCAACAAGGAAGUGACGGCUAACUACGUG